UGUCAGGACCAGGCGAGGAUGGGCUCCACUUCAGGACUGUCCACUGGCUCCACUCCAGUCAGCACGUCCAGUAUGAUCACAGGAGGCGUCACAUCCAUGUCCUCAUCCCAGCCGAUGGCCAACAUCGCAGGUUCUCCUGUCAUCUCGUCUCCCAGUGCUCUUGCCACACAGGUUGCUGCAGCCGCCGGUGCCCAGCCCUGAACACACUCUAACGCUCCCUCUGCCCUGGGCCACGUUUUUAUGUUGAGUGUAAACAAACAAAAGAGAGACUAAACUAGGUUUCUUUUUUCUUUUUUUUCUUGUUUUUUUUGUUUUUUUUUUCUCUCCAUACAAUAAUUAUAUAUUGGAGCUCGGACACACAGCAGACAGUUAUGUUGUGUCAGUGUCCGACAGUCUUUCCUGAUGGUGUCUAUAUAGAAGCCACUACAGUGUAGAAAUUCAGAAAAAUGGAUAAUAAAAUUUAUUUUAUAUGUCCCUA